rnacentral:rRNA from 1 species
AGUGAACGCUGGCGGUAGGCCUAACACAUGCAAGUCGAACGGCAGCACAGUAAGAGCUUGCCCUUACGGGUGGCGAGUGGCGGACGGGUGAGGAAUACAUCGGAAUCUACUUUUUCGUGGGGGAUAACGUAGGGAAACUUACGCUAAUACCGCAUACGACCUACGGGUGAAAGCAGGGGAUCUUCGGACCUUGCGCGAUUGAAUGAGCCGAUGUCGGAUUAGCUAGUUGGCGGGGUAAAGGCCCACCAAGGCGACGAUCCGUAGCUGGUCUGAGAGGCUGAUGAGCGACACUGGAACUGAGACACGGUCCAGACUCCUACGGGAGGCAGCAGUGGGGAAUAGUGGACAAUGGGCGCAAGCCUGAUCCAGCCAUACCGCGUGGGUGAAGAAGGCCUUCGGGUUGUAAAGCCCUUUUGUUGGGAAAGAAAAGCAGCAGGUUAAAACCCCGCUGUUGUGACGGUACCCAAAGAAUAAGCACCGGCUAACUUCGUG